AUUGAACGCUGGCGGCAUGCCUUACACAUGCAAGUCGAACGGUAACGGGCCUUCGGGUGCCGACGAGUGGCGAACGGGUGAGUAAUGCAUCGGAACGUACCUUUCAGUGGGGGAUAACGUAGCGAAAGUUACGCUAAUACCGCAUAUUCUGUGAGCAGGAAAGCAGGGGAUCGCAAGACCUUGCGCUGAUUGAGCGGCCGAUGUCAGAUUAGCUAGUUGGUGAGGUAAAGGCUCACCAAGGCGACGAUCUGUAGCGGGUCUGAGAGGAUGAUCCGCCACACUGGAACUGAGACACGGUCCAGACUCCUACGGGAGGCAGCAGUGGGGAAUUUUGGACAAUGGGGGCAACCCUGAUCCAGCCAUGCCGCGUGAGUGAAGAAGGCCUUCGGGUUGUAAAGCUCUUUCGGCCGGGAAGAAAUCGCAUGGGUUAAUACCCUGUGCGGAUGACGGUACCGGCAUAGGAAGCACCGGCUAACUACGUG
rnacentral:rRNA from 1 species